CACUCUACUUUGUAAGAGGCCAUACAUAGAAAAAGAUUCCUAUAUGGAUAAACAAGUUGAUGGCUCUGGAAUUUGAAAGAAAAACUAGAGCCGAUCACGCCGUGAAAAAAGCUAACAAAAGACAACUGCUGCUCACUGCCACAAAGGUGCUCACCACAUGGGGCUUUCCUACUUUCUCUAUAUACUUCAUCAACCAAAACGACAACCCAAAGCCACCUCCCCCUUUCUUUCCCUCUCUCUCUCUCACAGAGACACACAUUGCCUUCAUACGGACAUGGAGCCACCACCGUCGCAGACGAUCUCUCAUGGAGAUGGCGGCAGCAAUUUCGAGAUUGAAGACGACCAAGACAGGUUAACCGACCAAUGCUGCUCCUGCUGUUACGAUUGUACGCAGAAUCUUUUCGAUUACAUAUGCUGCAAUUUCUUCUGAUCCGAUUGUAUUAGUCAGAACUAAAGGGAGCAUUUGUCCAACAGAUGUAUCUUGUUGAUGUCAAUGAUGACCACCAGACUAAUCUGAUUUUUGCUUGAAAAUUCCUUGAACUUGUUGCAAAAACUUGGUUAUCUUUUGCUGUGAUGAUCAAAUUAUCUGGUGAAGGCUACUUUUCUUGAAAGCCUUGCAAGCAUCAUCUAUGGCUUUCGUCACAUCCCUUACAUUACUGCAUAUCGGGGGGGCAUUCUUGCCAGGGAAGCAGCACUGUCUAAAUUGGCAUCUUUUGUACUAGUAACAGCAGCUAGUCUCUUUUUUGGUGAGGGGCUAAUGCCAUACUCAUUGCCUGUAUUGGUCGAUACUGGUGAAAGGAGCAACAUUACCUGGAAAAAUUCCUGCGGGCAGGCGCUACAAUUUGAACGAGCAUUUUGGAUCAUUUGCGUCCACAAUUCAAUCUUCCAGAUGUUUAAAAUUGGCAGAGGCUGUUCUUGCUUUUGGAAGAGAAAUUUUUUUUGGGUAGGGUUUGAGUACUUAAGAACUACAUACCAGUACCGGGUGCCUUUUUGGUGGAAUUUCUGUUCUACCUUCCAUUUAUUUGAUUUCAUUAGAGUUUUGUUCUUCGUGUUGAGAAAUUAACAGGUAAAAAUUUUCUUCCAGCAUA